UACGGGGGGAGCAAGCGUUGUUCGGAUUUACUGGGCGUAAAGGGCGCGUAGGCGGCCACCGCAAGUCGACUGUGAAAUCGUCCGGGCUUAACCCGGAAAGGUCAGCCGAUACUGCGGGGCUAGAGUGCAGAAGGGGCAACUGGAAUUCUCGGUGUAGCGGUGAAAUGCGUAGGAUAAUCGAGAGGAACACCUGCGGCGAAGGCGGGUGCUGGGCUGACACUGACGCUGAUGCGCGAAGCUAGG
rnacentral:rRNA from 1 species